rnacentral:lncRNA from 1 species
AGAAUUAUGAUCCUGGCAGGGGAAACAGAUGAACUUGGAAGAAACAAAAGAUCUUCUUUGCCUGCAGCUGUCCCUAGUCAUGGGGAGGUUGGGGGGUGGGAAGUGAAGCACUGACGAUCCCCAUGAUUAGCAGAACCAGCUCUGCAUAAAACGGGGUCCUUGUGAAGGCAACAGGGUUGUUUUCUGCAUGGACCGUGCCCUAGAAUUUGCCCCUGCCUGCCAUCGCUUCAAAAUCCUCAAGGCAGAAUGUUUAGCAAUGCUGGGUCGUUAUCCAGAAGCACAGUCUGUGGCUAGUGACAUUCUACGAAUGGAUUCCACCAAUGCAGAUGCUCUGUAUGUACGAGGUCUUUGCCUUUAUUACGAAGAUUGUAUUGAGAAGGCAGUUCAGUUUUUCGUACAGGCUCUCAGGAUGGCUCCUGACCACGAGAAGG